rnacentral:rRNA from 1 species
CAGCCGCCGCGGUAAGACAGAGGAUGCAAGCGUUAUCCGGAAUGAUUGGGCGUAAAGCGUCUGUAGGUGGCUUUUCAAGUCCGCCGUCAAAUCCCAGGGCUCAACCCUGGACAGGCGGUGGAAACUACCAAGCUGGAGUACGGUAGGGGCAAAGGGAAUUUCCGGUGUAGCGGUGAAAUGCGUAGAUAUCGGAAGGAACACCUGUGGCGAAAGCAGCUCACUGGACCAUUACUGACGCUGAUGCACGAAAGCUAGGGGAGCAAACAGGAUUAGAUACCCCGGUAGUCCCUGUCUCUAUACA